CUUUUUUCUUGCUGAGUGUUAGGAAUCUCCUUUUUACUCCUUGAGCCAGACCUGGAGGACUUCUUCUGGAGCACUCUCUUUCCACUUCUGAGUGCUGUUUCUCAGUUUCAGGCUGCCUGGAGUCCAAGCCAGAGAUACGAGGGAAUAGAAGGGGAAACUCAGUGCUGGUUUGAUAUUGCUUCUGAAUCCAUUCCUUUCUUGUGGUGAAUUGACCAGUCAAACCAUAAUUGGUGUAUUAUUUUGGAUCUUAUACAAAGAAUAGCAGUUGGUUCCAGUUUUCAGCAUUUUAUCACAUUCCCAGAACUUCAAAGGCACCAGUACCAGAAAAAAGUGUGGCUUCUGAAAUGUCAUCAGAUACCACUUCUCCUGCCGGAGGCUAGGGGUGAGAAGGCUGGGAAAGAGUUCGUCCCUCGAGGAGCCUAAGGCCAG
rnacentral:lncRNA from 1 species